rnacentral:rRNA from 1 species
AUUGAACGCUGGCGGCAGGCCUAACACAUGCAAGUCGAGCGGGGUUUUCGGACCUAGCGGCGGACGGGUGAGUAAUGCGUAGGAAGCUGCCCGAUAGAGGGGGAUACCAGUUGGAAACGACUGUUAAUACCGCAUAAUGUCUACGGACCAAAGUGCGGGACCUUCGGGCCACAUGCUAUCGGAUGCGCCUACGUGGGAUU